GAAGGUUGAGAACGAGGUUGUUCUAGCCGCCUAUAAGGUAAAAUUUAAAACUAUAAGACUACAGCCUCAUUAUCGUACGAAUUGUUAUUGCAACUCGCACAAUUUUUUUCCUUUUUCUAUGCACAAAUUAAUAUAUUGUGUAAUUACUAUAUAUAAAACAACUUAGAAAAUUGAAUACAAAAGGUUUUCUAUUAAAUCGUUGCUAUUAUGUGGUAAUGUACGUGCACCUGCUAGACAACUUCCAUGUACUUCUCUAAAAUGUUAAAUUAUUUUCUAAUGGAGUAACCAUUGAAUCAAGACUUGUUCUUUUUUAAAUUAAAAAAAUACACAUUAUAUUUUUAGACGGAAAGAGUGCACGAUAUAUGCAACUAGAUAUAUCGUGGAAAGAACUUUCAAAUAUGAUCUCCUUUUGAAAUUUUCUAAUUCUAUUUUAAUAUUUAACCAAAGCAAUAUCCUACACUGCACGUAUUUGGAGUCGGAGAGAGAUCAUUCUUGUUUUUUUAUAAGAGGGGCGGUCAUUCUCAUUGAGAAAGGUAUCUACUCCCUCCAUCCCAAAAAGACUAUUUAUUUAGCCUUCAAAAUUUGUCCCAUAAAGAGUGUUCAUAUAAUUUUCAGACCAUCCAAUAAAAGUCGUCAUAAUACUUUCUGACCCAGUUAACGAAUUAAUCAUUUACUCCCACAAUCAAUGACUAAGCCAGACUCGCUAAAUAAGGAAGACUAAUAGGUCCGACAAUUACUGCAAGCGUGCAUGCAUAAUUAAUUCUACUCGGUAAUUCAUCCGAUUAAGAAGAGUUAUUAAGGAUAUUUUGGACUUUUAGCAUUGUUAUUAUCUUGUCAAAAAUUUUCUAAACGAACAGCUUUAGGGCAUGUUCA
rnacentral:lncRNA from 1 species